rnacentral:lncRNA from 1 species
AAAAAUGCAACGCAGGCAAAUGAAAUGCAAGAUUCAGUGACAAGGUCAACGCUAAUGCAUUAACCGAAGAAAAUUAAUUUCUCUUCAUGCUAGUUCGAAUAUUUCCUAGAGAAAUGAGAUAACAGACGGGCAGUUCAUAAGUCAGAAUAUUAACUCCAGUUACAGUUGACCAGGACAUGUUAAUUCCUACAAGUUCACAUCACAUUUGACCAGGGCAUGACACAUGGUGGGUAAAAUUCCCUUGUGGAGCACAUUACAGGCCCCAUGCGCAGCAUACAGGAUGGAAGAGCCUGAAACAAAGAGUCCAUUUCUGCAUCUCAGCCAUCCGAAACCUAACUCUUGUUACCUGUGGAGCAAUCAGUGAAGCCAGUCAAAGAGAUUUGUAAUACUCAAUUAUUUGAUGCAUGGAAAUUAUCUCACAACUUGUGUACGGUUCGGACAGUAAGCAUUAGAGCUUCGAUGAUGUGGAAAUUGCGCCAAAGGCUCAAAGUUGAAUCAACUCAGCAAUAUUGGAGAAAACUAACAGUACAAAGAGAGAACAGCAAUAGGACGACAGUUAAUUUGUAGGGGCACACCUUCAAUUUCUACUGUUAGCAUAGUGUCAGAUGGCUAAAUCUGGUCUCAGUACAGACGAAAAGGUUAGUGGUUCAGAUAACUCCAUUGGACCAUUAGAACAUCCUAGAUUAUCAAAUCUUGUGAAACUUUCUUUGUUAUCAUUGGCAUAUGAAGGGCUCAUGUCGUAAUAGAGCUGAAUCGUCUGGUUUCUAGCUCAUGGGCAUACUCAUUAGAAAUGUGCAAGCUAGAUAGUCACCAAAAAAUCGAACUUAAUCAAAUUCAUGCAGUGGAAGCCUCAAGUAAAUCAUAAUGCAUCAUUUUAUGAAUUGAUACUUCCUUUGGUUCAAAAUUUCAAAUAGAUAACACCUUUUUUACUCUGCACAGUAUCAAAAACGAAACAUUGGCAACUACUCAUGAUGAGAGAAGUGUUUAGUAUGAAACUAGACAUGUCAUUUUGAUCAUGGAUUCAGUACAGAAAUUAUGAAGCAUCUAUAAUGACAAAAGUCGGAGAAAUUAUACUGCACAUAAACCAGUACAACAGCCAAUAUGUACUUUGGAUAAGACACGCUAUGUUGGAGGUUAUGAGAAUUAGACUGACAAAUAGAUAUACGUUGUGAAAAUAUUAAACCAGACCCACCUAAAAUUAGCAUAAUUGUACAAUAACUGCAAGCGAGCAUUAUGUAUUAUAAUGUUCCUGGAUGGGCAGUAAUGUGAAAUGUUUUCCCUAAGAAAGCAAUAGUGUGAAGCUUGUAAUAACAAGGCAAGUUUGAAGCCAAGAGCUCAGGUGUUGUUAGUUACCAAUACAAAUUUGAAUUCAUGGAACAACAGAUAAAUCAUACUCAAACUUGACAGACCCAUAACCACAGGAAAUAAAAUGCAACAUAGCAACCAGGGAAAGUAAACAAAAAAUACCCUCGAAGGAAAGGAAAGGGAAAAUAUUUCAUUCUGCUACCACUAACAAAUAGUUACCUGAUCAAUACAUCGCGAAUUCAAGAUAGCAUCUAUCCAGACAGAUCAUAUUAUGUAUCGCGCAAAAGUUUAGCUCCACCGUGUCCACCAUCAAUGCGAGCAUCUACAAAAAUAGGAAGUCAAGGAACCAAUGAGAUUCCAACGAACAUUUAAAUAGGUACAGGGGCAUUAACUAGAUAUUUAGAUAAACACACUGCUAUAAUUCGAGAAAAAAAUUCAGUUAUAUCUCAUAAUGAAAUCCUUGACCAUGUCAAUAGGCCUGUAAAAAUAACGAAAAUAGUUCGCUUAUUAUACACAUAAUAUGCCAAUCAACCCCAACUAAAUUGCUUUUGCCAAUCAUCAUGUCCGUUGUUUUACUGUAUGGACGUCCAUAGAAUAAACAGAUGAAGUGUCUGCUACCUCUGACUCAAACCACAUAACACAAUAACAACAAUACAAGACUAUAAAAUACUAACUUUGUUUCUUUUUACCUGCGGUAUAGACACCUUCAAAUGGAUAAAAGUGAAACCAGCUGUAGGAUUCAAAAAGUUUCUUAAACUGCAAUGAUUCAAACUGGACCAUGAAGACACCGAUAAAUGUCCGCACUAACACCGCAUUAUUGUCCUCAGCAAACCAGAGUAUCCUUGGGCUUUGGCUCCCCUCCUCCGAGUUCAUGGAAAGUAGCUUGUCUAGUGCAACAGUUCUUCCCAGCACCCAUGAAGCUACACCAUCCCAGUCCGUCUUCCUCUUCCAUAAUUGGAUGCAGUAGCCCGACAGGAAGAGGAAACCAAGGCCACCACCCUCCGCCUGCAUAACCGUGAAGGAGCACCUCCCCGCAUCGACGUCCACUGGCACAUCUAUCACACUUAGGCUCUGCCUAUCCACAUUAAAUUAAAGUAUUCCAAACCAAUUCCCAGUAAGCAACCAGUAAAGAAUUCCCAACCAUCACAGAGCAGAUGACCAAAAUCCUGGUAGGUACAUCACUGGUAGGAUCCUUGGCCGGAAGAAGUGUCGAGGUGAGAUCACCCCAUACACCGGUCUCCGACGAGUACACCGAGGCCACAGCCUGUCUAAGCUGUAUGUCGCUGUUGCCUACCAAGACAACCUGGAAAUGGUUGGCCUCUCCGGAAGCACGAAGCACCGCUCCGUUAAUCACGGUUUCCCCCUUGUCGAACCCUGUGGGAAUGUCUAGGCGAUGCUGGUCACGCGUGACGGGAUCCCAUACCAGGAGCUGGUUCCGCCUCCAAAGGGAGAUGAGCAUGAGGCCAUGGCGGCAUCCGAGGAUCAUGAAGGCGUCGCGGGCGUUGAUAGGAAAGGAGAAGCGGGCUUGCGGGACGCGAUUGGGGGCCUCCAGCGUAGGCUCGAAACGGAGUGGGGAGAUACCUUGGACGAAGCAACCGAGGAGGGGAGGGUUGCGGCGGUGGUGCUCGUGGAAGCGGCGGAGAAAUCGGGCGUCGGAUACGAUGCGCCGCCAGAGCUUACAGGCGAGGGACGCGCGGGGGAGGGAGGACGGCAGCGGGGGGAGGCGGAGGAGGAUCUCGGAGAGGAGGUCUUCGUCCUCCAGCGGCGCCGCCGCCGACGACCUAGGGCGGCUGCUCAUCUCCUCACCAAUGCGGCGGGAUCUGCAGGCUCUCCAACGAGACAAUGAAGAAGAAGAAGAGCCCAAAAGAAAGGGAA